rnacentral:rRNA from 1 species
AACGAACGCUGGCGGCAUGCCUAACACAUGCAAGUCGAACGAGACCUUCGGGUCUAGUGGCGCACGGGUGCGUAACGCGUGGGAACCUGCCCUUAGGUUCGGAAUAACUCCCCGAAAGGGGUGCUAAUACCGGAUAAUGUCUUCGGACCAAAGAUUUAUCGACUUUGGAUGGGCCCGCGUUGGAUUAGCUAGUUGGUAGGGUAAAAGCCUACCAAGGCGACGAUCCAUAGCUGGUCUGAGAGGAUGGUCAGCCACACUGGGACUGAGACACGGCCCAGACUCCUACGGAAGGCAGCAGUGGUGAAUGUUGGACAAUGGGCGAAAGCCUGAUCCAGCCAUGCCGCGUGAGUGAUGAAGUCCUUAGGGUUGUAAAGCUCUUUUACCCGGGAUGAUAAUGACAGUACCGGGAGAAUAAGCUCCGGCUAACUCCGUG